UAAACUCCACACAGAAAGACCCUGCUGGCCUGAUGGUGGAACUGAACUCAUGUCCUUCUCGCUGUGCGGCAACAGUGCUAACCACCUUGCCACUGUGCUGUUACUUUUAUAAUAUUGUUUAAUGGCAGUUUUCUAAAAACACAUGAAAGGGAUGUAAUCUAACCAAAACUGUUUUGAUGCCUGAAGGGGAAUAAGUUAUGGAACUAGAAGUCUUUUCUGCCAAUGUGAUUAAGUUUCUUCACACAGACUUUUUGCUCUUUUUUUGUCAUUCAGAUGAUGGACUGUUUGGGAUGUUGUGAUGUAGCUGCUGAAGAGAGUACAAACAUACUGUUUUUGACUAGUUAGAACAUUAAAUGUAAAAUUCAAGAUAAGACUGAGCAAAAACCUUCCACUGAUGCGUUUCUCUCCCACACAUAUUUGAUGGCAUCACAAGACAAUCUUAAAUGAGGCAAAAUGCCAUGUCAAGAAAACAGAAGCACGGUCAGAACAAAGUAUAAAAAAUUAGCCUGCAUCUCACCUGCAUUGAAGGUCAAGGCCAUUACAUUUUCACAUUCAUCUUAAGCCAUGCAGCAUGCAAUCUACAGCAUCUUAUCUGAGCACAAAGCAGUGAAAUGCUCAAUUGCACUUCAUUGUAUUAUAUUAUAUUAUGGAUUAUAUUUGAUAGCAUCAGGGGGACUUUUAUGGAUUUUCAGACAUGGAAAAAAAACAAAACAAGUUACGUGAUCUGUGACCUCCUACUCACAAUGUGUUCUCCAUCUUCAGGGAUAUAUUCAAACCUAAAUAUCUAUUCUUUUUAAGUAAAAAUAUUUGGGCUAUCAUGAAUUUAAAGCUAACCAAUAUCUGAAGUGUGAAUAACUGUAUUAAAAAUUGGUUUAACUUUUAAUGUUGCUCAGUGGCCAUCUUGUCAGUGUCACUGUGAACAAAAGUCACUCUCACAACAUCCUCUCCAACUUGUGAUCCAACCAAUCAAAAAAGGCACACCACUCACAUGGUCACAGACCAAUGUCAUUCACUUCCUGUAUGGAAAAUAUUCUUGUGCUGCAUAAAUAAGUAACUAUAAGUAGUUAGGUAAGGCUGACUCUUUGGUUGUAUAUCUGUUAUAGAUGCUCUACAGUAUAAUUGCUAUGAUUAUUACAUAUACAGUUUAAUCUUUUUUUGUGGCAUUAAAGUUGUUAAAGGUGUUGUAUAGAGAUAAGGACACAAAUAACACAUGACACUCAGUACUGGUAAGAAAAUGUUGUUGCUAUUUUUGUUGUGACGCAUGUAGGUUUACACAGGAUGUAAUCUUUUUUUACUAACAAUUUAAGGUAUCUGACUACAAUCACAUCUUAUUUAAGUUCUGCUCUUUGGCUGCAGUUCUUUAGUUUUAUGUAGUUAAAAAGACAAUGCAAUGCUUCAUGUGAUAUUUUUGUGGUAGACUGUUUAUUAAGUGCUGCUUCAUUGUCCAGGACAUUCUUGAUAAUUACAUCUUAUUUAUAAUUUAACUUUUAUAAUGUGAGUCGGCUAUACUGAAAUCUUGUUUCUAAAUAAUCUUUUCUUCAAGUUGCUAUGGGAGAGUUUCUCAGAUAUUUGAGCAUCAACCGGACCUCGACACUGAUAUGUUGCAUCUGUAUUUUCCUGGAAGCAGGUGGGAACAGCAUCUCCUUGACAGCUGGGAGCAGAGUGACCCUGCACUGUAGCAAUAACUCAAUCAGCAACCUCCUUCAACUGAGAUGGGCAAGUAAUGGGACUCAUCUGUUUAGUUUCAGGCCACAGAAAACCUCAAACAACAGCUCUGUCACCUUAAGCAGUAAUCGGAAAUACCUCAGACAGCAGAAUAAUAAGGUCUCAUACAGCUGCCAUCCUGAAUCUAAACAUGUCCACCUUAGAAAGCCAACUGUAUCCACUAAUCAUAGAGGGAGCCCAGAAAUAUCACACAGGAAACUACAAUUGUGAAAAGACCACAGACUCAGGAGUCUUUGAACAGAAAUGGGAGCUCAUAAUUACGGGUGAGUUCCUGUAUAGUUUUUAUAACAGAUAAAACACAAGCAUUCCUUAUGGAGCAGCAAAGAAUAAAACAGAGCUUUUAAACACAACGAUAACAGAGUCAAAAAUGGCUAUGGUACUGCCAUAAAAAAAUGAACACACCUGGCUAAUUAAUUACUGACUGAACACUGUGGGAGGCAGGUGGGAAAUGGAAACAAGAAGAGUGGGAAAUUUUUGCACUGUCCUCACCAGCUUCUUUCUUUUUCAGAGGAAGCUGAAUCAUGUAAAAUCCAUGACGCCACAGCAGUUAUUGUACAUUGUGUGUGUUUCCUGGUUAUUACAAUUACUGCUUUGGCCAUUAUGAGAAAAGUCUGCAAACAACGAUCAAAAAACAUCAUCAGAUCUCUCAGUGCAAGAUUGUCUGUUGAGAAUUUAUGACUUUAAUACAAUUAAUAUUAGACAAUAGGAUAUACAGUUCAGUCCACAACUUUGCCUUGUACUCCAUCCACAGUGGAUUUUUAAAUUAAAUAUUUGGUAUGUGAUUGAAGUGCAGACUUUCAGCUUUAAUAAUAAGAAGUUCAUCAAAAGUAUUACAACUGUUUAUCUUUUUUUUAUAUAUACAUAGCCCUCCAUUUUUUAUUUUUACCAACCUUUGCAUUUUUACUAAGUCCUUGGGGGGACAAUGAAUAGUCAAAGCCAUGGACAUCCCCAAAUGUCGCAUUGCCUCCAUUGAGAUGCUCUGCUAGGCCUUUGUUGCAGCUUUCAGUUGCAGUUGUUUGUGGGUCUUUCUGCUUUCAAUUUUGUCUUUGGUAACUAAAAGGUGCUCUGCUGGACCCAGAUGUGGUGACUGGCUUGUUAAGUAUCACACAUAACAGAAUGCCUGAUGUUGGCCAAUGCCCAUUUUCUUUGUCUAGAGAAACUCGUGAUUUGUUUUGACAGUAUGGGUGGAGUAAAUGCCCUGCAUCUAGCUCAGUGGGAGUAGAGAGUAACACCCUCUACAGAUCUGGAAUCUGUUUCAUAUGUUAUGAAACAAUAAGGGUACAGUCCUCAGCUGGCCAUGAAACCACUGACUGUAAUUCCUAAACAACUAAUGCAAUACUUUUGUAAAACACCUUGAUCAAAAGCUGAAAAACUGCACUUUAAUCGCAUCUUAAUCAUUUGAUUUAAAAUCUGGUGUGGUUGUGUACAGAGGCAAAAUUACAAAAAACAAAAAUGUGUCCAAAACCGUAUGGUUCUCCCUGCAGGCUAGUAUGAAAUCAAUCUGAACUACUAUAUCGUCCACUUUAGGAAAGGAUAAUGAAAUUUACUGAGCCUGAAGAUACUGAUUUUUCUUCUGUAGGAGGAGCAGAGAAGAUCUUUAUGAAAACUCCUGGGAAAUUGAAACUUGGUCAGAUUCAGCUCGACUCUUACAAAUACAGGGCUGAAUGACCUAAAUUUUCAUGGUUCUGGGUCAUUUUGACCCAGUGUUUUUAAAUUCUUGUGUUUUGGUGUAAUUUUUGUCUUAUGGUUUAUGUUUUAGGUUCAUUAGCAGUCUUUAGAUUAGUCUGUCUUGAGGUUCUUAUAUUCCUUUUUGGUUCCUUGUCCUUUAGGUUCCCCUUGUGUCUCUGUCCUCUGUGUUUGUGUGUGCCCUUGUGUCUUCUUUCCCUUUUCUGUUCCCAUGUUCUCCUCAUGUUUCAUUAAAUGCCUCCCCCCCCCUGCUGGUCAUGUUUAUCCCAUGUCUCUCCUCUUGCUCUUUCUCAGGUUCCUUGCUCUCUCUCUGUGUCUCGACUGCGUCCUAAUGCUUCCUGUUUUACUUUGAUAGUCUCCUGUCUGGUGUGCGUCAGUUUUGUUUCCCUGUCUCAUUAGUUAGAUCACAUUCAGCCCUUGUGUGUAUUUAUGUUUGCGUCUCCCUGUGUCCUGAUCUCCCUCAUGGCUGUGUGUUCCUCUGUAUGUUUAGUUUUGUUUCCUGUAUUUCAGUUUGGUUUAAUUUAGUUGUGUAUCUCCUGUACUCCAGCAAUAAAGCUGUGUUUUUUUGAGUACUGCCUGUGAGUCUGCUUUUGUCUCCUAUCCUGCCUGCUGUGUACACCAAAUGACACACAAUAAAAGAAGAGACAACUUUGAGCUUUAAACUUUCAAGUUAUGUCUGAUCAUGAGCACCCAAGAUUUUUCCCCCAGCACAUUUCUUCCUCAGACAUUAUACCACCACCACACAAAACACAACCACUACCUUUAAUCCACCGGAUGAUAAAAAUGUGUCAUAUUUUUCAUAAAAAGUUGACUUAUUUCAUUAAAAAUUCUUAAAAGCUGAUCUUUAUCUCCUCCCUUAUUAACAUCCACAACUGUGACACUAUAUAGGCAUAAAGAGUGUUAAGCAUUUUACUGGACUCGGGGGCCUUAGCAUGAAGCAACUUCAACAUAGCUGCAGGUUUCUUUAUUAAUCCAGUCUUUCUUCACUCACACAUUUAACUCUUCUUUUACACAGAACUGAAUACUUGAGUUCCACUUAAUUGAAAUGGGUGAUAAUCCAUAAUAAAAAUACAAAAAAUAAAAGGGGGGCAACAGGAAACACUGCAGCUGGAAAUAAGGGCAAGAGCUCUGGUAAACUGUUGUGCUGCUAUUUAUUUUUAAAGUGACAUUAAGCUGCACAUAGGGUUGUUAUACUGUCAAGCUGCUGCACAAAAAAUCAUAGUCUACUCUGUGCAUUAAUGGUCUGAUAUUGUGCCACAGCGUAUUUAAAUAGAUGUGGAAAUUUCUUGGUUUGUGGACAGAUCAAAGUGAAAUGAAUUACACUGAUCAAAUAUUUGUCAAGAUAAACAGCUGACUGUUGCUACUGUUUCCAUUUGGUGGUUUAAAACAUAUUUAUAGGUUUUCUGUGUCACUAACCGAAUAUUUUAUAAAUUCUAGUGUAAGUUCCCAGAAGAUCAUCAUUUGGUGGGAAUAGUGAGAUAUGUCUUAACAGGUUUCAGCAGAGACUCUGUAGCAUCCAUAGUGCAUUAGAAGACUCAUUUAAAGGACUUUAAACCAUCUCCAGUUCAUUAUGUGUUCAGCAUGAGUUAUCAUGGUAAUCUAGUGAGGUGGGAAGUAAGACAUCUUUGCGACACUGCAAACACUGACUUCAAGUGAAACGUACACACACAAACUCAGACAUUGGUCAAUCGUUGACCAAACCAAGGAGUUUCCAUUUUGUAGACAUUGCAUGAAUCAGUGUGAAUAAAAGUGUCUCACUUAUGUGCUGUCAUGUUUGUGAGGUUGUGUGCAGGGUUAACCACUGAAAAAUAAGUAAUUAUAACUCAUUAAAACUACGGUUUGUCAUGUGGAAACUGUUCCUGUUAGCUACUAGACAGCCAUUGAUGUGGGAUAUAGCAGCAUUCGAUAAAACAAAGAAAUAAAAGGUUUUUUUUCUAUAUUAAUAAGAUAUUCAGGGGCAUGCUGGUAAUUUUUUUUUUUUUAUUCUUUACAAUUCAAGUCAAAAAUCAUGGAUUCAUAACAUAAAACAGUAACUUGUGUAAACAAAAAAGUAGAGUUUGAGACAUCCUGACCUUCCAGUUUGACUAAAAUUCUAAGUUUUCCAAGAGCAUUUUUUCCAAAUAAGCUCUUCAGUUUCUUCAGUCAGUUUUUUAAAAUAAAACAUCGACUGUGCCUGAAAGCAGUUCCUGUUAGCAGUGAGAUAGAGGUUGCCAUUAAACUUCCAGGGGCUGGAUAGACUCUCCUUUAACACUGAUUCGUCCGCCAAGAACAGUCUGGAUUUAUCUAGCUCUAUUUAUUUUUUUUUAUAGACUCACAACCACUGGCUAAAUUAUUAGGUAGGCAUCACUAGUACCAUGUUGGAUCCCCUUCUGCUUUCAGCAGCUUCAAAAGCAUAUUCAGCUUAAUAUUAAAUGAUUAAAACACAGUUCCCAAGGUAAUAAUGUUGGUAUGUUACUUCAGAAGAAUUUAUGAAAAUAGAGUGUGAGGUUUUUUUUCCUUUUCUCCUGUGUAGUAGACAGCAUUGAAACACGUUAGGUAACUCAGUCUCAAAAAAGACCCACUGCAGUUCAAA